GGGGUGCGGGGAGAGGAAAUGGCACGAUAUGGGUCAAGGGCACAAAGUCGCAGUUAUGCAAGAUAAAUAAGUUCUGGAGGUCUAAUACGGAGACGGUGAUGAGAGUUAACAAUACUGUAUUGUAUAUUUGAUAUUUGUAAGAGGAUAGAUCUUAAAUCUUCUCAAUAGACACGUGCAAAUGGUAACUGUGUAGAGGUGAUAAAUAUGUUAAUUAGCUUGAUAGUGGUGAUCAUUUCACAAUGUGUGUGCAUAUGAAAACAUCAGGUCACGCAUCUUAAGUACAUACAAUUUUUAAUGUCAGUGGUACCUCAAUAAAGCUGUUACAAAUCUAUAUAAAGAGGAGGAAGUCAGGCAGGAAUCUUCCCACUGUGCGGCCUGCCUCUUUGCACUUCUUUGAAUUGCGUUUAUCACAGGCUACCUUAUGUAAGGAUGACGUGAAUGUCUGUGUGCCUUUCCCCCUCAAUUACAGCCUCUUGGCACGGAGGGCCUCUGUUUCACUGAUCUUAAUACAGCUACAGCAAACAGCAGGCACUCAAUGCUUGUUGGAGAAAAAUCCAAUCGAUUUCACUUUGGCAUCAGCUAUUCAGUUGGAAGCAGCUCAAGAAACAUACGGAUAUCAGAGAGGAGGGUGAGUGGCUUUCAAGGUCCAACUAAGGAGGUCACCUGAUCAUUCAGUGUUUGAAAGACACCAGCCAGCCACAGGCAUCCAUCUAACUGACCGGGCCAAUGAAAGACGAGAGCCAGCAGCGGCAUGUGCUGGAAAGAACACAACACCAGAGACGAGCUGAUUUGAUUCCAGAGGACUGAAGUGUCUAAAUGCAACAUCCAGGCCAGGCAUGCCCUGGCAAAGGACAGCCCCUUCUCAACAUGUGAAGCAUGGGACGAAGGUCCCGAUCUGAGGAAUUCGGAUCCUUUCUUGCAUGAGCCGUGGAUCUGAGUUUGAAUCUUGGCUGUAUUCCUAAUGAGUGAUCUGGGAAUGUUGAAGCAGGCUGGAGUGGGACGAUCCUUCCAGGUGGAUAGCUCUGGCAAAGCUCUUCUGAAGGUCAGGCCUUUGUAAUGGAGAAGGCUCCUGGUGUAUUUCCCUCCUGCCAGCAGAGCCAAGAAGGGAUCUUUCUUGGAUCUUCAGCAUGUGAACCUGGUAGGGUUCCUGGAGGUUAAAAACUCACAAAAGUGUGGGUCCUUCUAAGACUGUGGCCCCCAGGAGUUUCUCACUCUCAUGGUCAUCCACACUGAGCCUCCAGAAAUUUGUCAAAAUUGCCUUCUGAGUCUUCCUACCAGCUUAUGACCCCCAAAAUUUCUCUUCUUGGUAAGCAGAUCUCACCUGUGUCUCUCUGGAUUUUAGGGUGGCAGUUUCUCUUACAACUAAGGCCAUCUCAUGAGUCAAAAAACUUCAUUGAUUUUUCAUGUUGUCCAAUUUUUUCUUGGUGUAGGGUGGGAAUAAAAAUUUCCAAGCUCUUUACAUGUCCAAGUUGAAACUGACAGUCCUGUAUUGACUUUAAAAAAUGUUUAUUUAUUUAUUUAUUUGGAGGGGUGGGCAGAGAGAGAGGGAGAGAACCCCAGGCAGCUUGUGCUAUCAGUGCAGAUCCUGACACAAGGCUCAAUCUUACAAACCAUGAGAUCAUGACUUGAGCCAAAAUCAAGAGUCAGAUACUUAACCAACUUAGCCACCUAGGAACCCCCCCCCCCCCAUAUACCCCCCAUAUCAACUUUUUUAAAGAGUGCACCUGAUUAUGUCAGGAUCACUCAGAAUAAACUCCCUUUUGAUUAGUCUAAUACCAGGAGAGAAAUUCCCUGUGUACAUACAUAUCACCCACACUCAGUGGGAGGAGACUACAUAUAGUAUAUACACCAGGGGGUGGGAAUCUUGGGGGCCAUAUUAAAAUUCUGCCUACUACAACUUGCCAGAGUAGGUGACAUUUGAAGUUAGUUUUAAAAAAACAAGUGGAAGGAACUGACCUGGAAGUGGGGGGA